rnacentral:rRNA from 1 species
UCGCNUCUGCUGUGAAAGGCUGGGGCUUAACCCUGGUUUUGCAGUGGGUACGGGCUAACUAGAGUGCAGUAGGGGAGACUGGAAUUCCUGGUGUAGCGGUGGAAUGCGCAGAUAUCAGGAGGAACACCGAUGGCGAAGGCAGGUCUNUGGGCUGUAACUGACGCUGAGAAGCGAAAGCAUGGGGAGCGAACAGGAUUAGAUACCCUGGUAGUCCAUGCCGUAAACGUUGGGCACUAGGUGUGGGGGACAUUCCACGUUUUCCGCGCCGUAGCUAACGCAUUAAGUGCCCCGCCUGGGGAGUACGGCCGCAAGGCUAAAACUCAAAGAAAUUGACGGGGGCCCGCACAAGCGGCGGAGCAUGCGGAUUAAUUCGAUGCAACGCGAAGAACCUUACCAAGGCUUGACAUAUACUGGACUGCGUCAGAGAUGGCGUUUCCCUUCGGGGCUGGUAUACAGGUGGUGCAUGGUUGUCGUCAGCUCGUGUCGUGAGAUGUUGGGUUAAGUCCCGCAACGAGCGCAACCCUCGUUCUAUGUUGCCAGCACGUGAUGGUGGGGACUCAUAGGAGACUGCCGGGGUCAACUCGGAGGAAGGUGGGGAUGACGUCAAAUCAUCAUGCCCCUUAUGUCUUGGGCUUCACGCAUGCUACAAUGGCCGGUACAGAGGGUUGCGAUACUGUGAGGUGGAGCUAAUCCCUAAAAGCCGGUCUCAGUUCGGAUUGGGGUCUGCAACUCGACCCCAUGAAGUCGGAGUCGCUAGUAAUCGCAGAUCAGCAACGCUGCGGUGAAUACGUUCCCGGGCCUUGUACACACCGCCCGUCAAGUCACGAAAGUUGGUAACACCCGAAGCNG